rnacentral:rRNA from 1 species
CAGCCGCCGCGGGAAAACGAAGGGUGCAAGCGUUAAUCGGAAUUACUGGGCGUAAAGCGCACGUAGGCGGCUUGGUAAGUUAGAGGUGAAAGCCUGGAGCUCAACUCCAGAAUUGCCUUUAAGACUGCCGAGCUAGCAGGUGAGAGAGGUAAGUGGAAUUCCGAGUGUAGAGGUGAAAUUCGUAGAUAUUCAGAAGAACACCAGUGGCGAAGGCGGCUUACUGGCUCAUACUGGACGCUGAGGUGCGAAAGCGUGGGGAGCAAACAGGAUUAGAUACCCCCGUAGUCCCUGUCUCUUAUAA